CUUACGAUGCGGGAACUUAUGAAUUGACAUUUCUUACGCCGAAAUUUUAAAAAUGCUCUUUUUGGUCAAUUUCUAAGAUUUUUAAACUCUGAUAUUGAAGAAAUUCUGGCUUUUCUACAUUUAAUUCAUGCGGAUCCAGGUUGUUUUUUAUGCGUUUUGUUAAGGUUUGAUCACUCGACCCUCCACCCUUCCAGAUUUUCAGUGUCAGUGACCCUGGUACAGUGGUGAGGGGAUUAGUAGUGAGUACUUCAAGGAUAUUCCCAGUCACAGAUUCCAGGAUAUUAAAUACUUUUGUCUGGCGAUGCAAACGGGGUAAAAGCUAUGAAUCGCCAUGAAGAAACCAGCAAACACAAACAUAAAAGAAGGAAAACAGGGGCAGAGAGGGACAGGAUCAGGACCAGACUUCAAGCAAAGAGAUCAAAAGCAAAUGAGCAUAAGAGACAUACAGAUUGUAUUGAUCCUUUGCUGGUAGGUAUGAAUAACCUUACAGAUCCAAUAAAUAUGCCCUAAAUUUGAACUUGCUUUUUAUAUACAUUUUAUUUUCAUGUGUUUUGGAAAUAUUCUCCACCCCAAAUAAUUUGGUCUGAAAUUAUGCCUUUACAAUGUUGUCAACCGUAUCAAGAAAGAAAAGUUUGUGGCCAUCCUGGUGUAGGUCAUUGUAAUGACUGUAAAUGGGGAUGUGGCAUUUCGAGCAGAAGAAUCUCAUCACCUUAUCCAUGUGCUCUGGGCAGAAAAUCUUUUGCUGUUCUUGAAUCUCUCUGUUUAGAUGUUGAUUAAUGCCAUAUUUUCCUACUCUUUG